CGCGUAGGCGGCGGACACAGUCAGACGUGAAAUUCCUGGGCUCAACCGUGGGGGCUGCGUUUGAUACAUGUCUGCUUGAGUUCGGAAGAGGGUCGUGGAAUUCCCAGUGUAGAGGUGAAAUUCGUAGAUAUUGGGAAGAACACCGGUGGCGAAGGCGGCGACCUGGUCCGAUACUGACGCUGAGGCGCGAAAGCGGUGGGGAGCAAACAGGAUUAGAUACCCUGGUAGUCCACGCUGUAAACGAUGUGCGCUGGAUGGUUGGGGGCCUAGCCCUUCAGUGUCGUAGCUAACGCGAUAAGCGCACCGCCGUGGGGAGUACGGCCGCAAGGUUGAA
rnacentral:rRNA from 1 species